rnacentral:rRNA from 1 species
AGCAGCCGCGGUAAUUCCAGCUCCAAUAGCGUAUAUUAAAGUUGUUGCAGUUAAAAAAGCUCGUAGUUGAAUUUCGGGAUCAAUACGUCGGUCGUGCUUCGGUACGUACUGGCGUAAUUGAUUUCUCCCUUCUGACGAACCAUGAUGUCAUUAACUUGGUGUCAUGGGAAAUCAGGACUGUUACUUUGAAAAAAUUAGAGUGUUUAAAGCAGGCUUACGCUUGAAUACAUUAGCAUGGAAUAAUGAAAUAGGACGUUUGAUCCUAUUUUGUUGGUUUCUAGGAUUGACGUAAUGAUUAAUAGGGAUAGUUGGGGGCAUUAGUAUUCAAUUGUCAGAGGUGAAAUUCUUGGAUUUAUUGAAGACUAACUACUGCGAAAGCAUUUGCCAAGGAUGUUUUCAUUAAUCAAGAACGAAAGUUAGGGGAUCGAAGACGAUCAGAUACCGUCGUAGUCUUAACCAUAAACUAUGCCGACUAGGGAUCGGAUGAUGUUAAUUUUUUAAUGUACUCAUU